rnacentral:tRNA from 1 species
GGGCCCAUAGCUCAGUCGGUUAGAGCAGCGGACUCAUAAUCCGACGGUCGGGGGUUCAAGUCCCUCUGGGCCCA